UUGGAUGCUAGGACAUAUUCAACCUUAAUAGCUUCAUUGGUGUCUUUGGUCCUUGCACAUUUGGCUCUUUUACCAAAUUUAGAAAUAAAAAUUUAGAACACUUGUUCUGCUAAGAUGGGACCAAAACAAACUUGCUUCAAUUGCAUGUAUACUCUCUAUUUGAAAUAAGUUGCUGCCUAAUAUGGCUAAUAAAAUCCAUGUUAAU
rnacentral:lncRNA from 1 species